CUCAAGAGGCGACAGAUUGUUGAGGUUGUUACAAGAGCAACCCAGUGUCUCCAUUGUUACUACCCGCCAAUGCCUGCAACCGCAACAGACACCCAGCUUUGGCACACUCCCCUCUUGUACAAUUCUUCGCAUCGGCAAUCAACACGGCGC
rnacentral:misc_RNA from 1 species